rnacentral:rRNA from 1 species
GACGAACGCUGGCGGCGUGCCUAAUACAUGCAAGUAGAACGCACAGUUUAUACCGUAGCUUGCUACACCAUAGACUGUGAGUUGCGAACGGGUGAGUAACGCGUAGGUAACCUGCCUGGUAGCGGGGGAUAACUAUUGGAAACGAUAGCUAAUACCGCAUAAUAUUAAUUAUUGCAUGAUAAUUAAUUGAAAGGUGCAAUUGCACCACUACCAGAUGGACCUGCGUUGUAUUAGCUAGUAGGUGAGGUAACGGCUCACCUAGGCGACGAUACAUAGCCGACCUGAGAGGGUGAUCGGCCACACUGGGACUGAGACACGGCCCAGACUCCUACGGGAGGCAGCAGUAGGGAAUCGUCGGCAAUGGACGAAAGUCUGACCGAGCAACGCCGCGUGAGUGAAGAAGGGUUUCGGAUCGUAAAGCUCUGUUGUAAGAGAAGAACGGGUGUGAGAGUGGAAAGUUCACACUGUGACGGUAUCUUACCAGAAAGGGACGGCUAACUACGUG